AACGAACGCUGGCGGCAUGCCUAACACAUGCAAGUCGAACGAGAGCUUCGGGUCUAGUGGCGCACGGGUGCGUAACGCGUGGGAACCUGCCCUUGGGUUCGGAAUAACUCAGAGAAAGUGGUGCUAAUACCGGAUGAUGUCUUCGGACCAAAGAUUUAUCGCCUUUAGAUGGGCCCGCGUUGGAUUCGCUAGUUGGUGGGGUAAAGGCCGACCAAGGCGACGAUCCAUAGCUGGUCUGAGAGGAUGAUCAGCCACACUGGGACUGAGACACGGCCCAGACUCCUACGGGAGGGAGCAGUGGGGAAUAUUGGACACUGGGCGAAAGCCUGAUCCAGCAAUGCCGCGUGAGUGAUGAAGGCCUUAGGGUUGUAAAGCUCUUUUACCCGAGAUGAUAAUGACAGUAACGGGAGAAUAAGCCCCGGCUAACUCCGUG
rnacentral:rRNA from 1 species